AAAAAGUCUCUAACACACUAAAAUUCUAUCUUCAUUACAAAUUUGUAAAUCUGUUAAGUAGGAGCCACAAAGAUAUUGAAGCCACUUGUAAAUUCUUCAUUUAAAUCAUCGAUAAGUUGCCAGAACCCACAAAUUUUGGCAUUAGAAGAACAUCAAUAAGGAAAGGCAGUAGGCACAAGUUAAUUUGACAUGAACCUAUCCAAGGGCCUAAACAAUGAGGCAAAAGCAA
rnacentral:lncRNA from 1 species